rnacentral:rRNA from 1 species
CCUACGGGUGGCUGCAGUGAGGAAUAUUGGUCAAUGGACGCAAGUCUGAACCAGCCAUGCCGCGUGCAGGAAGACGGCUCUAUGAGUUGUAAACUGCUUUUGUACGAAGGUAAACGCAGAUACGCGUAUCUGUCUGAAAGUAUCGUACGAAUAAGGAUCGGCUCACUCCGUGCCAUCAGCCGCGGUAAUACGGAGGAUUCAAGCGUUAUCCGGAUUUAUUGGGUUUAAAGGGUGCGUAGGCGGGAUGCAAAGUCAGCGGUAAAAAUGCGGGGCUCAACGCCGUCGAGCCGUUGAAACUGGCGUUCUUGAGUGGGCGAGAAGUAUGCGGAAUGCGUGGUGUAGCGGUGAAAUGCAUAGAUAUCACGCAGAACUCCGAUUGCGAAGGCAGCAUACCGGCGCCCUACUGACGCUGAGGCACGAAAGCGUGGGUAUCGAACAGGAUUAGAUACCCCUGUAGUC